rnacentral:rRNA from 1 species
GACGAACGCUGGCGGCGCGCUUAACACAUGCAAGUCGAGCGAGAACCGGAGCUUGCUCCGGGGACAGCGGCGAACGGGUGAGUAACACGUGGGUAAUCUGCCCUCGAUUCUGGGAUAGCCCGGGGAAACUCGGAUUAAUACCGGAUAGCCUUUCGAGCUCUCGAGCUUGAAAGAAAAGGUAGCUUCGGCCUCCGAUCGAGGAUGAGCCCGCGGCGGAUUAGCUUGUUGGCGGGGUAAUGGCCCACCAAGGCGACGAUCCGUAGCUGGUCUGAGAGGA